rnacentral:rRNA from 1 species
UCCCUGGGUGACGAGCGGCGGACGGGUGAGUAAUGUCUGGGAAACUGCCUGAUGGAGGGGGAUAACUACUGGAAACGGUAGCUAAUACCGCAUAACGUCGCAAGACCAAAGAGGGGGACCUUCGGGCCUCUUGCCAUCAGAUGUGCCCAGAUGGGAUUAGCUAGUAGGUGGGGUAAUGGCUCACCUAGGCGACGAUCCCUAGCUGGUCUGAGAGGAUGACCAGCCACACUGGAACUGAGACACGGUCCAGACUCCUACGGGAGGCAGCAGUGGGGAAUAUUGCACAAUGGGCGCAAGCCUGAUGCAGCCAUGCCGCGUGUGUGAAGAAGGCCUUCGGGUUGUAAAGCACUUUCAGCGAGGAGGAAGGUGGUGAGCUUAAUACGCUCAUCAAUUGACGUUACUCGCAGAAGAAGCACCGGCUAACUCCGUGCCAGCAGCCGCGGUAAUACGGAGGGUGCAAGCGUUAAUCGGAAUUACUGGGCGUAAAGCGCACGCGGGCGGUUUGUUAAGUCAGAUGUGAAAUCCCCGGGCUCAACCUGGGAACUGCAUUUGAAACUGGCAAGCUAGAGUCUCGUAGAAGGGGGUAGAAUUCCGGGUGUAGCGGUGAAAUGCGUAUAGAUCUGGGGGAAUACC